rnacentral:misc_RNA from 1 species
UUUUUUUUUUUUUUUUUCUGACCAACAAGAUUAUUUUCACCAUACUAUGAAAACUCACAUCUUUUCUAUUACCGUCAACCACGCAACUAUGUAUCUCAUCACUUAUGUUAGUUCUAUAUAGGCCGUUGGAUUACAUCUCUACUAGUACUGCCACACACACACAUCACUCAUAUUUUCUUUGUACAUUAGUAUCUGAUUUUAAUUAGGGGUCCGCCGCCGCUUCUUCUUCACACCGAUCUGCUACAGGCGGCCUUACCCAACCCCACUCUACGAUUAGCCAGAUCAAACUCCACCCACAGAUUCUGCUGGUGGAAAUUCCCUAUUAUGUUACUCGCUGCACCUAGCAUCUCUGACCGUCCGAUUCCCACGCAGUGGACACCGCCUCCAACAUCAGCUAGGACCCUCUCUUUAUCGAUCACAAUUUCUACUCCCUUCUCGAAUUCCAGCACCAUACUUCCUAUCAACCGUACAAUCUCCGUCGGAUUUCCAUCGAAACACAUGUCCGAUACUCCGCCGUACACGUAGUUCUUCUUUAACUUUGGUCCUGCAUGUCUCACUAUCUCUUCCCUCACUUUAUUAUAAGCCUCAUCCACCAAGUACGUGAACUCGGAACCUGAAUCGAUCAUUGUUUGACCUGAUCCACUCCGAUCAGGCCGGAAAACUGACGCGGGGAUGUUUAAUCUCAUGUUGCCGAUUCUUAUUCCUUGCAUUGGAACACUGUAUGCUGAGGCGUCCAAGUUUGGUAACGUUGUUUGACUUUGAGUAAAAGUCAGAAGGCUAAUGUAUUGAAACCCGCCCGAAUUCGGAUUUUCUCCCAGAUAAAAUGACCCGGUUGAUGACAAUCCGGCCUGAGAUUGACGUGUUGGCACGCAAUAUGAGAAUUUGGAUAUUUUAGCUUGUGCAGCAAAUGAGCGCCGACCUAGAUUCAUCCCCAAAAUACCCUUGUCAUUGCUGGCGUCCUGAGCACAACCCAGGAUGAGAGGAGGGGUGCUUUGGGAACUAGAAAAUGUGAAUUUUUCCCUGACGAGACUGCCCUCAGCAUAGGUGCCAUCAGCGUAGAAGUAAGAAUAGUGGCAUAAACGGUUCUGGUCGCAAGAAGUAGGGAGGGUAAAAUCGGGAAUUCGAGGCUUGCAAAGAGGGUGAGUGCAUGGUAAAACAGAGAAGGAAGAGGAGAGAGAAGGAUCAAACGCCAUCGUAGGAGGAGGCUUCUUAGGAGUCUUAUUGUGGCACUGAAUCCAGGAGAGCUGGCUACCAGUGUCCAAAACCAUUUGCUGGGUCUGAGGAGGAGUCCCGAUGGGAAGAGACACAAUCAAGGCCAUGGAAUACUUGAAGGUGGAUCUGUAGUUGUAGGGUGAGGUUUUGAUUGGUGGGCUAUGCUUGAUUUGCGAGACAAAAGAAGAGUAAAACGAUGGAGUAGUGUUCGCAGAGUGAGGGACAGAACUGAGAGGGAAAGAGAAGGAAAUAGAGGUGGCGUUGUGUUGGCUUUCUUGGAUAGAGAGGGAAAGACAGGAGAAGAAGAGAAAGAAAAAGAGAAGGAGAGCCAUGGCGUUGGUGGUGAGUGAUGGGUUAUAGUGCAUAGGUGGGUGGUGUAUUUAUAAAUUAUAUGGGAUUUUGAGAAGAGAAAAACCAAAAGAUGAAGAAAUGAACAAAAAAGGAAGACGCGUUUUCUCAAUUGAGCGGUUAGAUGCUAUUAUGACGGAGGAGGGUAGUUUAAUUGCAGAACUUAGAUUCUCCUGUAAUAUUGUUCUGCCUAAAUAGAAGCAUGGCACCUUUUUUUUUUUUU